GAUGAACGCUAGCGGCAGGCUUAAUACAUGCAAGUCGUGGGGCAGCAUGAAUGUAGCAAUACAUUUGAUGGCGACCGGCAAACGGGUGCGGAACACGUACACAACCUUCCUAUAAGUAGGGAAUAGCCAAGAGAAAUUUGGAUUAAUACCCCGUAACAUAAUGAUGUGGCAUCAAAUUAUUAUUAUAGCUUCGGCGCUUAUUGAUGGGUGUGCGGCUGAUUAGAUAGUUGGCGGGGUAACGGCCCACCAAGUCUACGAUCAGUAGCUGAUGUGAGAGCAUGAUCAGCCACACGGGCACUGAGACACGGGCCCGACUCCUACGGGAGGCAGCAGUAAGGAAUAUUGGUCAAUGGACGCAAGUCUGAACCAGCCAUGCCGCGUGAAGGAUUAAGGUCCUCUGGAUUGUAAACUUCUUUUAUCUGGGACGAAAAAAGGCGAUUCUUCGUCACUUGACGGUACCAGAUGAAUAAGCACCGGCUAACUCCGUGCCAGCCGCCGCCGUAAUAC
rnacentral:rRNA from 1 species